rnacentral:tRNA from 1 species
GGAGAGGUUCCAGAGCGGCCGAAUGGGACGGUCUUGAAAACCGUUGAGCCUUCACAGGCUCCCAGGGUUCGAAUCCCUGCCUCUCCG